rnacentral:rRNA from 1 species
GAAUAUUGCGCAAUGGGCGAAAGCCUGACGCAGCAACGCCGCGUGCGGGAAGAAGGGCUUCGGCUCGUAAACCGCUUUUCUGUGGGAAGACAGCGACGGUACCGCAGGAAUAAGGCUCGGCUAACUACGUGCCAGCAGCCGCGGUAAAACGUAGGAGGCGAACGUUAGCCGGAUUUACUGGGCGCAAAGCGCGUGCAGGUGGUUGGCUAAGUCGGGCGUGAAAGCUCCCUGGCUCAACCGGGAGAGGUCGUGCGAUACUGGCCGACUGGAGACAGAGAGAGGCAAGUGGAAUUCCGGGUGUAGUGGUGAAAUGCGUAGAUAUCCGGAGGAACACCAGUGGCGAAGGCGGCUUGCUGGCUCUGUUCUGACACUCAGACGCGAAAGCAUGGGUAGCGAACGGG